GGAUGUAGCUCAGGUGCUUGCCUGCCAUGCAAGAGGCCCUGGGUUUGAAUCCCAGCACCC
rnacentral:tRNA from 1 species